UACAUGGGGUGCAAACGUUGCUCGGAAUUAUUGGGCGUAAAGCGCGUGUAGGCUGCCCCGAAAGUCAGGUGUGAAAGCCCUGGGCUCAACCCAGGAAGUGCACUUGAAACUUCGGUGGCUUGAGUUCUGGAGAGGAUGGCGGAAUUCUCGGUGUAGAGGUGAAAUUCGUAGAUAUCAGGAGGAACACCAAUAGCGAAGGCAGCUCGCUGGGACGUUACUGACACUGAGGCGCGAAAGCGUGGGGAGCGAACAGG
rnacentral:rRNA from 1 species